rnacentral:misc_RNA from 1 species
GUAGGUGAACCUGCGGAGGGAUCAUUACAGAGAACAUCGCCCGCAAGGGUGACUCUCCAACCCCAUGUUAAUUAUACCUUUGUUGCUUUGGCGAGCCGCUUCGGCCACCGGCUCACGCUGGUGAGUGCUCGCCAGAGGACCCAAAACUCUGUUUAUACAUGUCGUCUGAGUACUAUAUAAUAGUUAAAACUUUCAACAACGGAUCUCUUGGUUCUGGCAUCGAUGAAGAACGCAGCAUCUGACUGACUGG